rnacentral:lncRNA from 1 species
ACUCGCGCUUGGCUCUCCUCAACCACGGAAUUGGGCUUCGCCUGCCAGGACUGCGUGUCCCUCUUUGCACACCCGUGGCCUGGCUUUGCAUGCUUUCUUCUGAGGGACACACCAAGCUUCCAGCUGCCUCGCCCCGGACCCCCAGAGCUGAGGCUCCCUCUGCAGUUUGAACCAGCAGUGUGGAUGGGAGGAGCAGCAGAGUGUGUGGCCUCAUGAGAGAUGUGAGAGCUAGGGACACCCCAGUGCCUGGAGGUCGUGUGGAGUCACAUCUCGGGUGUCUCAGGUAGGAGGAACAGCAUGAACAAAAGCAUGGCGAUGGCAUUUAGAAAAGCAUUUGGGAAAGCUGGAGAUUUAGCUCAGUAGCACCUCACCUGCCUGGCAAGCGCAAGGUCCUGAGUUUGAUCCCCGGUACCAAAAAAAAGAAAAGCAUUGGGGGCUGGCAGGUGAGGAGGGCUCGGAUCUUCUGGCAGGGCAGGGAGUGGUGCUGGUGCUGGUGCUGGUUCUGGGUGCAUCGCUCACACGUUUGCCAGAGGAGUCUGAUCUUUGAAGACCAUGAAACCUUUCCUCCCUUGAAAACUUACCCACUGUCCCCCUUGGCAGUGUACUCUGGCCAAAAUAAACUCAUCUCUUCUACGCGCCCCCCAUAAUGAAACCAAAGUUCAGAGAUGAGAGAAAAUACUAUUUCUUGAGCGUCUCCUACAUGCCUGGCCCCGUGGUUUAUACUUCUUUUGCGCUGACAUCUACAUUGGCUCAGAAGAAGGAGUGGCCGGCCCAGGUCCACCGACGGGAGCUGUUCCAGGGUGGGAUGGGCUGUGGGGCCCUGCCAGGCCUUGUGCGGGGGGCUGGUGGGCAGUGGAGUUGGGCGGCUGCGGGGCCUGUGACCCCGCCUAUGGGAGCAGGCUGGAGAGGCUCCUUGCUGUUCCUCCCUGGGGCAGGCAGGCCCUUGUCCUCUGGCAGCGUGGUGAGGGUGGGAGGCCUCGGGCUCAGGCUAUGUGCUCGUGGAGGGUGGACACUGGGAGAGAAGCAGCUACAGAGCCCCUGGCUCCCUCUGCAGGGCCCUGCACCUCC